AUUUGUAUAAUAUAAAUAUUAUUUUUGACUUCCAAUCAAACUAUCUAGAAAUAGUGCAAAUA
rnacentral:tRNA from 1 species